rnacentral:rRNA from 1 species
UACGUAGGGGGCAAGCGUUGUCCGGAAUUAUUGGGCGUAAAGCGCGCGCAGGCGGUCAAUUAAGUUGGGUGUUUAAGCCCGGGGCUCAACCCCGGUUCGCGUCCAAAACUGGUUGACUUGAGUGUAGGAGAGGAAAGUGGAAUUCCACGUGUAGCGGUGAAAUGCGUAGAGAUGUGGAGGAACACCAGUGGCGAAGGCGACUUUCUGGCCUAUAACUGACGCUGAGGCGCGAAAGCGUGGGGAGCAAACAGG